GUUUCUCUCUUUUGUCUUAUGUUCGGGAGGGUCGUGUAGUAAUAGGUUUACUUAGUGUGGCUAAUUUCUUUUUAUCGCUUACUUGUACGGUAAUGUUUCAAACGCUUUUGGCUAUCAAAUGUUUUAUUAGGCUUGCUUAGAAGUCGAAACUCUGGAACAGCGUUUUUAUUUUCUGAAAACCUGCGGGGCAUCCAACCACGUGAGGAGGAGCACCCAUGGCUAACGUUGCAGGGCCGUUCGGUUUAAUGAAGCGCUGUAUUGGACAUGUCUUGUAAAUGCUUUUUUUACUUUAAAGCUGGGUUUUUUUCCAGGUACGAGUUGCCCUACUCCAUCUGGCUUAAUUCCUCCGCUAACGCCCAGGUUUUGUUGUCUAUAGAGCUUUCGUAACUUGAGAAACCUUAAGGAUUCGUUUGGUGAUCAUUUGUGUCUAUGUAAAGUUAAUCCCGGUUUGGGGGGGGGAUACCGUGUCCGUUUUCUGUAUCUUGUGCACUUUAACACAGAUUUGCUAAGUGCAGAUUUUUUGCUGUCCCAGCUGCCAGUGCAGCUACAUCAGAUUUGAGUGUUGCAAGCAUUCUCAAGGCAGCGCGUGCUUGACCAAGCUAGUUUCAACCCUACGUUAUCAAGAUUUUAAUUGACUUGCUACUGAGGCUUUGAAGUGGCUCAGUAAUUCGAUUAUGGAUGGCUCUAACAUGAUUUGGGCACCCUAACGCUUUAUUUAAAAAAAAAAAAAAGCUAAAUUAUGCAGUUCCUAUCCACAAGAUGGAACUAAAGGUCUAGACUUGGUCCAGGGAAGGAGCACACCCUUUCCUUGCAGAUGUAUUAAAGGCAGGUCUGAGACAGUAUCAUGUAACAAAGGAAUGUGUUGCAUUGUGAAAUUUUAUACCAUUUCAUGUAAAAUCUGUUUGAUUGUCAGUACUAUUAAAUGGAUAAAUUCAACCACA